UAGCAGAAAAAUCUGAUAAUUUCAGUCAAG
rnacentral:piRNA from 1 species